CCUACGGGAGGCAGCAGUGAGGAAUAUUGGUCAAUGGGCGGGAGCCUGAACCAGCCAAGCCGCGUGAGGGAAGAAGGUACAGCGUAUCGUAAACCUCUUUUGUCAGGGAACAAAGGCGGGGACUAGUCCCCGGAUGAGGGUACCUGAAGAAAAAGCAUCGGCUAACUCCGUGCCAGCAGCCGCGGUAAUACGGGGGAUGCGAGCGUUAUCCGGAUUUAUUUGGUUUAAAGGGGGCUCAGGCGGCCUGUUACGUCAGCGGGAAAAGCCCGGGGCUCCACCCCGGCGAGCCGUUGAAACUGGCGGGCUGGAGUGGGAGAGAAGUACGCGGAAUGCGCGGUGUAGCGGUGAAAUGCUUAGAUAUCGCGCAGAACCCCGAUGGCGAAGGCAGCGUACCGGCUCCACACUGACGCUGAGGCACGAAAGCGUGGGUAUCGAACAGGAUUAGAUACCCGGGUAGUC
rnacentral:rRNA from 1 species